UAAAAGGAAAAUGGUUGUGGUUUUUUACAUUGACUUUUUUAAAAGAUGGAAUAGUCUCCAAGCAAACCAGAAGAUUUUGUUACUGGUCAAGCAAAAUGUUUUUGGUUGACCCAAAAUGAAUCGAGCUCUCCUCAUUACAUUAAGUCUUUCCUCUUAGUUCAGCUCCAAAACCAGAAUCUUACACCACUAGAAGAAACCAACCAUCCUUGUUUUCACUUUCCUGCUGCAGCAGUCAGGGAUCUAAUUUUGGUUGCUCCUGUUUCAAUCUUUAUUCCCCUCUCGAUGUAUUGCAGGCUGAGCUCUGUGAUGUCAGAGUUUGCAGCCAGGGUGUGGUACAGAUCUCUCUCCAACUAUCUCGGAUACCUCACCAAAGAGCUGCUAAGCCUCCCUGGCCAGCAGCCUGCUUGUCUGCAGGCUUUAUAGAUCCACUUCAAACCCUGCCAGUGACACCAACACUUGGAAAUCCUCAUUAGUUCGUGGGCCUGAAAAUGCUGGGGAAAAAAAAAAAAAAAAAAAAGCUUCUACACAAAUAUUGUGAAAGGCAGCAGCCAACUGAUGGGGUAACUUUCCAAUGCCAUGGAAAGGAGUUACCCACUGAAGCCUUGGUGAGAUCCAAGCACAGCAAUCCUUUGAAAACCUCCUCACAGAUCCAGCUUUGGCAAAGAGCAGUUCACUGAGAGCAUCUCUAAACAGAUACCUCCAGAGACUCUGAGUGAGGUUGUAGAUACCUCCAGAGACUCUGAACAAGGCUUCACAGAGAGUGUCUUGCUGCAAGGACACAGGAAAAGUGAGGGCUUGUUUUGCAAACAGAGCUGGGAGAGGUGAGAGGACAACAUCCUGCUUGUGCAGCUGGAAGGAGAGACAUGAACUGGCCAACACACACCGGGCUCGGCUGUCACGUCGGGGCUAACUGGCACAUGACAGCUUUUGCAGGAGCUGCAUGGCUGACUGGCACCCAAAGUGAUCCAGCUGUUGGUGCCAAUGCGAAUGCCCCUGGGGAGGGUGAUGGGGCUGUGACAGCAGUGGGAAGAGCUGGGAAUGGUGUGGGAAGCACCACAGUCACAGGAACAAGGCUGGCAGAGGUGUCAGGAGCUGGCCAGCACUCAGACUAUAAAUGAUGCAGAAAGCAAUGUCCAAAGUUGCAGGAGCAGCCUGAACCCUGAGUCUGUGGGUCCCCAUCUCCUGUGGAACCUGCGUAGAGAUCCACACACCUGAAAUCUCCAAAACCUGCAUCUCGCUCUCCCAGGGCUUUACUGACCUUGCCCAUAAGAUGUUUAUUUUUAAAAAUACUGGAAUGGA